CGAACGUCCAGCACUUCUUUUUCUGUCUCACUUCUUUUGACACCAGGCACCAAACAGCAGCUUGUGUAACAGCGAUUUCAUCCCAGACCGUCAGAAACCAGCUCUGCUGAGAACGACCUCUUCUCUCAGUGGUAAAAAUGUGUGGAUAAAGUGAUGUGACAAAAUAAAGCAGAAUGGACCAGACGGAGCCUGACGCAGUGACGUCUAAUAACUCACCUGCAGACGCUCCGUGACAGAAGAACAGCAGCAUCAGCAGCUUCUCCCUCAUGUUGAUUUAACGUGAAAGUGAAAGUGGAGACGAGCACACAGACAAAAAAACAACCGAGAAAACUUAAAACAUAAAGUGACACUUAAUUCACGUCGGGCUGUGAUUUCACAACUGGCGGAAGAUUGUGAGUUAAACUGAAAUGCGACAUGAUUAAAGCUGAACGUUUUUAACAGGCGGCGCGUGGUCGCCUCAGUGAAGGCGUGUGGGUCCUCGCGUCAGAUCCAAUCACAUGUUAGCAGACGCGCGAAGUCAAAUGUCACGUGACAUUAGGCGGAAGUCAGAUGAAAAAGCAAAGGGUCGGCCUAGAAUUAGUGAAGGAAGAUUCAAGAAGCACCGAAUCACUUUGACACAGCAACAAAGCCUCGUUGAUACGUGGUGGUUUCUAACAGUCCACGUUUGUCUUAUUCUUAGAUAAACGUUAUUUUGCCAAAGGUGCGUAACUUCUUUGUCUGUGGAUCAGUAUCAGGUAGAGUAGAUGUGGAAAUAUGUUUGAUAGUAAAUUGUAUUAACAGUAUAUUGUUGCUGGAGCUUCCGUGAUUUGUGUUUUUACAACCUUGAUUUAAAUAAAAGGUUUUCUCAGCACUUUAA